rnacentral:lncRNA from 1 species
CCAAGUCUGGUGAGUUCUCAUGAUGCUUGUCAUGUAUNGUNSGUAAUAMYWAGUAUGCCUUGGAGCAGCAAUGAUGCUUUUUUUUUACUACGGCACCUUCCUCUGUACAGAAUUCUGGUCAUAUAUGCUUGGUCAGUGGUUUGUAUCUGUUACUCUUCCAAUCUUCGGCAGCGGUGGAGACUUUUGGGAUCAGCAGCCGUAGAAGAUGCAGGGCAAAGGCUUAGAAGGGGUUUCUCGUAAUUUUAGCAGAUGUCAGUUGGCUCAGAAUUACGAACGAGGCUUUAACGCAGCUGUACUGUCAUAUACAACAUGUAUAUAUAUAACAGUGAAUAACAUUAAACACCCUAGUUU